CAGGAGGAUUUACUGCUCAGCUUUUAAAGCCUUUCCCUUUAAAGUUAGCACAAUUUAACUAUCAAUAUUUGAACUUUUUCAGUAUUUUGUAUUACUGAACCAGAAUCAAAUGGCUUCAUCUGCUGCCUUCCAUAUCCUGUUUGGAAGCAGACAAAAUACCUUGGCCCAGCAGCUCAACCUCAGGAGGCUGCCGCUGUCGCUGCAGAGGUGGAGAUGUAUUCAGUCAUAUGUCUAUAAGUUCCUUGGUGCUCUUCUGACAAAAGAGACAUAGACCCAAUGUUUAUUUUCAAAUAACAGUUUUGCUAAGGCUCGAGGAAGAUGGAUGAACUGAAACCGACUUUGAUUUGGAGCUAAUGGCCCAAAUCAAUCACUGCAAGAGGCCACUGCAUUACCUCAGGGAUUCUAUGAAUUAUAUCAAAUAGAUUAAUGUGCUGACCCUUAACCUCUGGAAACCUAAGGCUGAAUUACAGCUGUGCCUUGAGAAGCUUGAAUUUUAACUCUCAGUUAAGAUCUGUGCUGCAAAGAUUAGGUGCCUGAACUUGACCUUCUAAAGAAACUGCAAAAUUAGCACAAGAUUUUCCAGUGCUACUUCUACAGUCUUUAGCAAUCAGCUCAUUGACAAAAAUGUUAACUAGCACAGGGCUCAGACCAGAUCCCUGCGGGACCCCACUAGAAAUACAACCAUGCAGUGAUUCCCGGUUUACAGUUACAUUUUGAGAAGAAUCCGCUAGCCAGUUGUUUAUCCAGUUGAUGUGUGCCAUGUUAUUUUUUUAUUAUUCUAGAUUUUUAAUCAAAAUGUUGUGCGUGAUUAAAAGGAAAUGAAGAAAGUAUUUGAAACUGUGGCACUACAGCAUUGUACAAAGGCAAAGGAAAGACAACAUAGUAUAUUUAGUAUCAGCUAUGUAGAACAAACCUUCCAAUAAGGCAUAUUUACUGAUUUAUACUUUAUACUUUUUCAUCUGAGAGUGCAGUUAUUCAGAAAGACUCUUUCAGCUGGGACCCAAAAUAAAUUUACCAAGAUACUGCAAAAAAAGGAGGCUGUUCUCUUGGCAUUUUUGACUCAUGACGAAUCAGAAAUAUUACAAGAUAACCUGUUCUCAGGAGAUUUGAUUUACAGUCUCAAAGAAGGGUUUCAAGCAUUUCAUCAAUAGAAUCAUUGUUUUAAGUUUGGAGGUUGUUCAGGGUCAACACGGAGAAGACGAAGCACAAACACAAGUGCCACAGAAGCCAAAGUACAAUUUGUUGGCCACUGAUACAACUGAACAUCCUAUUAUCUCUUCAUUUCAGCAGAUUCUCUGUCCACUGCCCAUGUCUCCUACAAGUGAAGCAGGCUAUCAGCACUUCACUCCAAUCCCUAGGAGGGAACUCUCUGAGUUGUGAGGAGGAUGAGAGUGGCCCACUGGAAUUCCACAUCUAGGGUGCCGAUAGUCUUGGGAGUGCCCAGCAUGAAUAAAGAGAAUACUUCAAUCGAAACCGACCCACAGGAGCAUUUAAAUUUCAUAUGAUACAAGCCACUUGCUAGCAACAAGAGCAAUUGCCAGAACUGAGGGCAGAGCUGACUUCACAACACCCUGGCUCACCUGGCCUGGUGAAGAUGAGCUGAAUCACUGACCUGCACCUGGUAGCUGCUCAUUGGCAGAGCAGUGCCAUUGGGACUGGAGGAGAACCAGCCCUAGAUGCCCCUGGGCCACCUUGAGACUGACUCGUCCUGUGACUGGCAUUUUUGAAGGGUUUUGUCUGCAGAUGGGCAGGACGUGAGAUGAGCCUUGACUGAGCAUGAGCUGAAGGCUGUGCAUUGAGUUUUGUUAAACAAAUGUGGAACCUGUCUGAUGCUCCCAACUGUGAUUUUAAGAAACAUUUUUCUUUUAAAAAUAUAAUUGUAAAUAUAUAAUUUUACUCCCUGGUUCCAUCUGGCACUACAAAGAGAAGCAAUGAUAAGUUAUUUGCAAGUGUAGCUGUUGCAGCAUUACCAAUCCCCUGGAUGCAGGGAAGAUCAAAAGAAUUAGGAGAGCCUGAUAGCGCUGAGUGAGAUUUCCGGUCCAGAUUCUGAUCCUCUGAGGUCCAGAGUACUUUCAACUCAGUUAUUUUUGAGGGCACUCAGCAGAAUAGAGCUCCAGUUUUGCAGAUCCAAGAAAUUUGGCUAAGAUUCAGAUAGGCAUCAGAACAUGUGAUUUCUUAUCUGAACUGAGCAUUUGAAGGUUCAUUUUAAAUGCAUUGGUGAGACCACUGGAGUUUAGUUUUCAAAACUCUCAAUCUACUCUCUAGGUCUUUAAGUGUGUUUGAGUUCAGAAAUGGGGGCAUGGAUCAGCACUCAUGUUGCAUUCCCCAUCAGUGCCCAGGCCGGGCAAGCUAAUGAUCCAGCCAGAGGACCAAAUUCAGUGAGAAUCCUGGUCACCUGCCACCUGAGGCACAUUGUGCAUAUGCUAAGAAAUUCACAAACCUUCCUUCCUGUACUUUAACCCCCUAUUUUUUGUCUAGGGAAAUUAAUAAAGAAGCAUCUUUGUGGGUAAAGAAUCUUUUUAAAUGUAUCCUGUAGCCUCACGGCCUGUGAAAUGGUGAAAGUCAUAUGUAAGUGAGGUGGAGCUGUAUCUGUCAUGUGACCUUAAAUUAGCUUGAUCACCAUACUCCAUUGCUACCUCUUCAUACCUCCAGCUAUCUAAAUCAUGUAUGCAAAUGAACAUUACAAUAUCCAUAAUCUCAAACACUUCAGAACGGUGAAACACCUAGAAUUUGUAACGGAUCGCACCUACAUGAAUAUGGGUGG